rnacentral:rRNA from 1 species
AAUUGGCCGGUAUUUUAUUCUUUUUUAUAGGAACCCUGUCCUGUAAUUGAUAACCCACGAUAGGAGUUACUUAUUUUUGUUUUCAUUUUGGAAACCUCCGUCAUCAGAGUAUCCUUUUAGGGAUUAAUAUUCUUAUUAUAUAAAAUAUUAUAUGUCAGGUCAAGGUGCAAUUUAUAAAUAAGUAGAGAUGGGUUACAAUAAAUUUAUUUAAAUGGAUUAUUAAUUUUAAUGUUAAUAUGAAGGUGGAUUUAAAAGUAAAAUUAUUUUAUUUGUUAAUUUGACUAUAGCUCUAAAAUAUGCACACAUCGCCCGUCGCUCUUAUUUUAAAAUAAGAUAAGUCGUAACAUAGUAGGUGACCGGAAGGUGUUCCUAGAA